UACGUAGGGUGCAAGCGUUAAUCGGAAUUACUGGGCGUAAAGCGUGCGUAGUCGGUUAUCUAAGUCGGAUGUGAAAUCCCCGGGCUCAACCUGGGAAUUGCAUUCGAUACUGGAUAGCUAGAGUUCGGCAGAGGGAAGUGGAAUUUCGGGUGUAGCGGUGAAAUGCGUAGAUAUCCGAAGGAACAUCAGUGGCGAAAGCGACUUCCUGGACCAGAACUGACGAUCAGGCACGAAAGCGUGGGGAGCAAACAGG
rnacentral:rRNA from 1 species